GCUAGUAGCUCAGCGGUAUAGAGCACGCUUUUGAUAAGGGCGUGGUUUUCCUGGUUCGAUCCCAGGGCGACUUAUACCA